rnacentral:rRNA from 1 species
UACAGGGGGUGCAAACGUUGCUCGGAAUCAUUGGGCGUAAAGCGCACGUAGGCGGUCUGUUAUGUCGGAUGUGAAAGCCCUCGGCUCAACUGAGGAAGUGCAUCCGAAACUGGCAGGCUAGAGUACUAAAGAGGGUCGCGGAAUUCCCGGUGUAGAGGUGAAAUUCGUAGAUAUCGGGAGGAACACCAGUGGCGAAGGCGGCCUUCUGGACCAAUACUGACGCUCAUGCACGAAAGCGUGGGGAGCAAACAGG